GAAGGGCUGCUGGAGCGCGGCCAGAGCGGACGCCGAGGCCGAGGAGGCGCCGAGAGCGAGUGAGAGCUGCUAGCCAGUUGUCACCUCUCACAGAGAGGUCCACAUUUGCUGAAAUGUAACUCUUAUCUCAUGCACUGGGAGUGAUGAACUUCACUAGGAAAUCAUCGUUCUUUCUGGUGCCUAUUGACUUCUCACAUUGUUGCCACUAUAACGCGGAUACAAGCUGAAACUCACAAUUGUUAUGUUUUGAAACUUGCUAAGGAAUUAGACGAUAUAAGCUGCAGCUCAGAAUCAGAGGAAUCUAUUACUAUAAUGAAUUAUACUAAUGGAUUCUCUAAUGUUUAUCAUCUGUGGAUACAAGUCAUCCAGGGUAUGUCCACAUCCAAUGUGACUAGUGUCCUUUUAAGAGGAUGAGAAUGGACUCAAAAACACACCGAUGAAAAUGCUGCAUGAAGACAGAUAUACAAAGGAAGACAGCCAUGUGAUAACCAAGAAGAGAUUAAAUUUAUGCAGCUACAAGCCAAGGAAUAUCGAAGGUUGCAACAACCAUCAGAAGCCAAGAAAGAUCAUUGCCUUGCUGACAUCUUGAUUUUGGACUUCUAGCCUCCAGAACUAUGAGAGAAUACAUUUCUGUUGUUUUAAGCCAUUCAGUAUGUGGUAGUUAAUUAUGUGAGCCCUGGGAAACUAAUACAGAUUUUGGCACUGGGAGGUAGGAUACUGCUGUAACAAAUAUCUAAAAAUGUGCAAGUGGCUUUGGAAUUGUGUAGUAAAUAGAGUCUGGAAGUGUUUUUGAAGCAUAUUCUAGAAAAGUUUAGAUUGUCUUGAAGAGGCUGUUGGUAGAAAUCUGGACAUUAAAGGUGUUCUGGUGGGGUCUCAGAUGGAAAUGAAGAUCAUGUUUUGGACACCGGAGAAAAGGCAACCCUAUUUAUAAAAUAAUUGAGAGUUUGAUGAUUUGGAAAAUUCUCAGCUAUUCAUAUUUCAAAGAAUGGGAAAGCAUGUUCUGGAGAGAAAACACCAUAGGUGUGUCUGAAUAAAUUUUUGCUACAGAGAUUAAGCGUGUGACUCAUGGAUCCAAUCAACUAUCUCAGUAGAAACGGUCACCUUGGAUGAAAGAUGAUAGAAAUGAACAAAGGGCAGGAAGGCUGUUGGACUUUUUGGUUCCACAAACAGAAAAUGGGCAGCUAGAGCUGCUUGGCUAGCAACCUCUGUUAGCCUUCAAGAAAAAAAUAAGAAAAUUUUUAAGGGUGGCUCAGAUGCCAGUGGGAUUUUCAAUGUCUGGGAGGGUGGGAUGGUUACCACUGUGGAUCAAGAGGGCAGGGCCACUGCUAUUGAAUACCAGAAGGGGAUAGGGAGCCAUCUCAGUGGGUUCAAUGGAAAGAGUCACGGAGAAUUAUUCUCAGAACUUAGACUUUAAUGGAAUUUUCUCUGAUAGGUUACAGACUUGCUUGGGAUAUGUGACCCUUUCUUUUUUUUCUUUUUUGAAUUUCUCCCUUUUGGAAUGGGAAUAUCUAUUCUAUGCCUAUUCCACCAGUGCAUUUUGUAAAAAAGGUAAUUUGUUUUCUCUAUUUCAGAGGUCCACAGAUAAAGAGGAAUUUUGCCCCAAAAUGAACAUUACCCAGCAUCUCAUCCAUAUCUGAUUCUGAAGUUUUAGAAGAUGAGAUUUGGGAGUUGUUGAGUUACUUUUAUUUAGAAGACAUUUUGGUGUUAGAGGUCACAUUAGGAUGGGUUAAGAUUUUGGGGGAUGUUGGGAUGGGGUGAAUGUAUUUUGUAUGUGAAAAGAUGUGGGUUGGGGAUCUAGCAGGCAUAUUAAUAUGGGUUGAAUUGUGUGCCCCCCCACAGGGAUACGUUGAUAUCCUAACCUCAAGUACCUAUGAAUAUGACCUUAUUUGGAAAUAAAGACAUUACAGAUAUAGUUAAUAUGAGGUCAUCAGGGUGGACCUAAUCUACCCUGAUUGAUGUUAUUUUAAGAGGCGAACAGACAAAUGCAUAUCGAGGAGAAUGCUGUGUGAGGACAUGAACGCACGAAAGGAAGAUGACCAUGUCACAACAGGAAGAGUUUGGAAUUCAGAAGAUGCAAUACAAGAAAUAUCCAGCAACCACCAGAAGGAGAGGCAGCGUGGUCUUGCCAAGAUCUUUCUUUUAGACUUCUAGCUCUAGAUCUUUGAAAGACUAAAUUUCUCUUGUUUUGAGCCACCCAGUAGGUGGUCAUUUAUUAUGGUAUCCCUAGUAAAAAAAAAAUAUUCUGGAUAGUUUGGUAAUUCUCAUUUAUAAAACUAUUUAUCGGUGAAACCCCAUCUCUACUAAAAACACAAAAAAUUAGCUGGGCGUGAUGGCGGGCGCCUGUAGUCCCAGCUACUUGGGAGGCUGGGGCAGGAGAAUGGCAUGAACCCAGGAGGCGGAGCUUGCAGUGAGCUGAGAUAGCCCCACUGCA
rnacentral:lncRNA from 10 species